ACCAAUUUAUUUAAAUUAGGUAGUACAUCGCUGAGUGAUACGACCCCUCGCUACUACAUAUAGUGAUCUUUAUACGUCCGAAAUACACAAAUCUUGUCACAGGAACAAAAUGAGCUCAUGGAGAAAAUUUUCUUUGUUUUAAUUAUUGUUAUCAUAUUUCAUAAUUCAUAUCAAGCUCCAGUUCGCCUUAUAUGUCCGCCAUGUUCAAUAGUGUGUAACAACGAUAUAAGUAAUCUACGUAAGCAGUGUCAGUCUUGCCAGUGCGAACCUGUCAAACAUAUUCCACACUUAGUCGCUGUUGUUUUAUGUCCAUAUAAGAUAUGCAAAGAGAACUGUGGCUUUAUGGGAUACAAACGAGACAAAAUGGGGUGCAAAUCAUGUGAAUGUAAAGAAAUCUAAUACGACAAAAUGGAUAGGAAAUCGACUAAACUGCAGGAAACUUUGCAAGACAGCAUGCUUUGAGAAUUAUGUGAAAGCCGGGAAAUUUAUUUUGUUUUUAUUUGUUAAGUUAUUGUUAUAUUUUUUUAAUAA